rnacentral:rRNA from 2 species
UGGGGAAUAUUGCACAAUGGAGGGAACUCUGAUGCAGCGACGCCGCGUGAGUGAAGAAGUAUUUCGGUAUGUAAAGCUCUAUCAGCAGGGAAGAAGAUGACGGUACCUGAAUAAGAAGCCCCGGCUAACUACGUGCCAGCAGCCGCGGUAAUACGUAGGGGGCAAGCGUUAUCCGGAUUUACUGGGUGUAAAGGGAGCGCAGACGGCUGUGCAAGUCUGAAGUGAAAGCCCGCGGCUCAACUGCGGGAUUGCUUUGGAAACUGUGCGGCUUGAGUAUCGGAGAGGUAAGCGGAAUUCCAAGUGUAGCGGUGAAAUGCGUAGAUAUUUGGAGGAACACCGGUGGCGAAGGCGGCUUACUGGACGAAAACUGACGUUGAGGCUCGAAGGCGUGGGGAGCAAACAGG